rnacentral:rRNA from 1 species
UACGUAGGUGGCGAGCGUUGUCCGGAUUUACUGGGCGUAAAGGGAGCGUAGGCGGGCUUUUAAGUGAGAUGUGAAAUACUCGGGCUCAACUUGAGUGCUGCAUUUCAAACUGGAAGUCUAGAGUGCAGGAGAGGAGAAUGGAAUUCCUAGUGUAGCGGUGAAAUGCGUAGAGAUUAGGAAGAACACCAGUGGCGAAGGCGAUUCUCUGGACUGUAACUGACGCUGAGGCUCGAAAGCGUGGGGAGCAAAUAGG